CAUUAUAGAGAGCUACGGCUCACUGUAUGCUAUUACCAAACUGAUAUUUCAUUCCAUGUUGCUUCCAUCUCCUUCAUGGUGGUGGGAGGUUUUUUUGAUUCUAUUAUUUUUUGCUGAGACUUUUAAUCUGUCUGAAUAUGAGGGAAAAUAUUAUAAAACUUUCAACAACGGAUCUCUUGGCUCCUGCAUCGAUGAAGAACGCAGCGAAAUGCGAUAAUUAAUGUGAAUUGCAGAAUUCCGUGAAUCAUCGAGUCUUUGAACGCACAUUGCGCCUCAUGGUAUUCCGUGAGGCAUGCCCAUCUCAGCGUUAGUAAAUAUCAUCAAAUUUUGGCAUUGUGNCAGAGUUUGGUUUAUGUCAGAGAAGCUAUUACAGUUCAUGUGGAUAGCUCUUUGGAAAUUCAUAGGUCUGCAAGUUGCUAUUAUUGGAAUGUGAUGAAAAUUACUUCGUUCAAAUGUAGUCUACUUAUAUAGUCCUAAAACAUAUAUACCUUUUUGGUAUUUUUGGCAUUUGACCUGAGAUUGGGUAGGGAUACCCGCUGAACUUAAGCAUAUCAA
rnacentral:rRNA from 1 species